rnacentral:rRNA from 1 species
GACGAACGCUGGCGGCGUGCUUAACACAUGCAAGUCGAACGGUGAAGCUCCAGCUUGCUGGAGUGGAUGAGUGGCGAACGGGUGAGUAACACGUGAGCAACCUGCCCCUUACCGUGGGAUAACCGCUGGAAACGGCGGCUAAUACCGCAUACUAGAAGGGGCUGCAUGGGCUCUUUUUGAAAGGUUCAUCGGUUGGGGAUGGUCUCGCGGCCUAGCAGCUUGUGGGUGAGGUAAUGGCUCAGCAAGGCGAAGACGGCGAGCCGGACUGAGAGGGCGACCGGCCACACUGGGACUGAGACAGGGCCCAGACUCCUACGUGAGGCAGCGGUGGGGGAUAUUGCACAAUGGGCGGAAGCAUGAUGCAGCGACGCCGCGUGGGGGAUGACGGCUUUCGGGUUGUAAACCGCUUUCGGCUGGGAAGAAGCGAAAGUGACGGUACCUGCAGAAGAAGCACCGGCUAACUACGUG